rnacentral:rRNA from 1 species
UACGUAGGGGGCAAGCGUUGUCCGGAAUCAUUGGGCGUAAAGCGCGCGUAGGUGGCCCGGUAAGUCCGCUCUGAAAGUCAAAGGCUCAACCUUUGAAAGCGGGUGGAUACUGUCGGGCUAGAGUCCGGAAGAGGCGAGUGGAAUUCCUGGUGUAGCGGUGGAAUGCGCAGAUAUCAGGAGGAACACCAGUGGCGAAGGCGGCUCACUGGUCCAUUACUGACGCUGAGGCACGAAAGCGCGGGGAGCAAACAGG